AUUGAACGCUGGCGGCAGGCCUAACACAUGCAAGUCGAGCGGAUGAGUGGAGCUUGCUCCAUGAUUCAGCUGCGGACGGGUGAGUAAUGCCUAGGAAUCUGCCUGGUAGUGGGGGACAACGUUUCGAAAGGAACGCUGAUACCGCAUACGUCCUACGGGAGAAAGUGGGGGAUCUUCGGACCUCACGCUAUCAGAUGAGCCUAGGUCGGAUUAGCUAGUUGGUGAGGUAAAGGCUCACCAAGGCGACGAUCCGUAACUGGUCUGAGAGGAUGAUCAGUCACACUGGAACUGAGACACGGUCCAGACUCCUACGGGAGGCAGCAGUGGGGAAUAUUGGACAAUGGGCGAAAGCCUGAUCCAGCCAUGCCGCGUGUGUGAAGAAGGUCUUCGGAUUGUAAAGCACUUUAAGUUGGGAGGAAGGGCAGUAAGUUAAUACCUUGCUGUUUUGACGUUACCAACAGAAUAAGCACCGGCUAACUUCGUG
rnacentral:rRNA from 1 species